GAGAGGUGAGAGGUUGCAGCUGAGUUGCAUGGGAUGCUGAUGCUGCUGCAUAGGCUCCAUCGCUCCAUCCCUCCCUCGGAGAGAAUGGAAAAAACAAGGAGUGGUUAUGUGAUUCCCCACAAGCAGGAGGAGAAGCGCACGGGAGAGAAAGGAAUAGCAGGGGAGGGGGGGCGUUUCCCUGCACAGUAUAGCCUAUUCUCACACUCCAGCAUGGAUACAAAUGUAUGGCAUAUGGAGCGUCUUCUUCAGGGGGAGCUGGCAGAAAGGUGGACGUUGCGGUGCUGUCCUUAAAGAUUUGCCUCCACACGCAGACCUCCUCCUUCCAUGCUGCAAUCUUAUUCAGAGUGCGGGAGCCGAAGGGAUGCAGGCGCAGAAAAAGGAGAAUGAGCUCCAGAGCUGAGAGGAGAGAGAGAAAGGAAUGGAGGGGAGGAGGUGGGCCUCUUUGCUCCGGUCUCGACCACGGGUAUUCUUGGGUUGAUAAUACAGAUGUGGAUGUUAUUGCUUGAGAAUACGCGUAGUCGAGUGGAAGCUUUCUCAUCUACAGUGGACCAAAAGCUGAACUCUAUUCAGUAGAGUACAAAGGCAGAGUCACAUCUAAAUGUAUAGCCAAGCUGAGCAGGUGACACAGACAUUUUUAAUUAAGCACCCAGAGGUGACUUUUUAUGGGGGGAAAAGGCUUAUUUUGUUCAAUCAGAAAGGUUUUUAAAUAGAACGCAAUCAGGGCCAGCCAAAUCAAAUCCAGCCACUGAAAAGGUUUUAUCAUCAUAGGUUUAUCAACCAUGUCACUCUUUACACCUGUGGAGGAAAUGAGUUUGUUUCGCUGGCCAGGUUCAGCCUCUCCCGCAGAGGUGCUGCUGGGGACGACUUGCACCAUGCCACUAAGCUAAACCCCUGGGCAUUAGUUCAGGGAGCUUAACACGAAAGUCUUCAGACUCAGACGUUAAUUCCAAACCUUCUUGAUUACAUACCCUUGUCAGUCAGUCGUGCUUACAAGUGAGCCUAUAAUCUUAUCAGUUGAUGAGUGUCUUUCACAGCCCUUCACACUCUGCUCCAAACAUUUUCCCUCGUACCGAGCCGAAAUUUGAAGUUUGUGAAAAUUGGCUCCCUGGACAUAAACGGCUGCAAUGCCAAUGGCAUGGUACAUUGUAACUGUGCAUAACCAUCAUCCCACUGCACUACCAACUGCUGUUGCACUCCUAUUUUUGACUCCCCGGCUCUUGCUAAAAAUGUGUGAGAGUUUGAUGCCUGUAGCAGCAACAGGAGACAGUAACACAUGAGGACAUGUCAAGACUUGCACCCGUGGCUGACAUUUCAGCAUUCGGCUCAGCUGACUGGCUGUCAUGAUGCAGACUCACACACACAAACACAAUAUAUAAACUGCACAAGGGUUUGCAUGAUCUACAUGCCAGUGGGGAAAUAUGGGAUUGAUGGAUCUUAUGAAAACAAGCAUGCAGACUGAUCCCCAUAUGUAUGAAUGCACUCACACUGCAGCUUGGUUCACUGAGUCCAUGUGCCAGUGGGGAAAUAAGAGAUUGAUUGAUUUUAUGGGUAACUAUUUUUAGUCAGAAUGAUGGAUGUUUAUGUCUUUUAUUGAUCAAGUUGAGGUGUGGGUCUGAAGAGUUCUUAGACGUCAGGGCGAGCUGAUUAAUCAGGUAGCAAAGGUGUUGGAAUAAAACAUCCUGAAUUACAUUUUUGGUGCAUUAGCAUUAUUGCUAAGUAUUAUAAAUUAGAAAAUCAACAUUUCAUUGCAAAUUCAGCAUUAUAUUAGCAUCCGUUUGCAAAUGUGCCGAUGAUAAAUUACACUCUUAUCAUGUAUUAUUCCAUGAUUUCUUACUACUGCGUAAGCAAAUCUCUUAUUUAUUAGCACAGUAUGUAAUUAUAAUUUACACGAAUUUCACACUGACGUUGUGUAAACUUGUUGAUUUGGCAAAGCCGUUUCUGUGGUUUUGUGUGUAUUUGUGUAUGCAUGUGUGUAUGUGUGUGUGUGUGUGUGUGUGCUUCUAAGCAACAAAAUGACUAUUGUGAGCACAGCUCCAGGUGCCUAGCAACCGAAUCGCUCUGUUUCCUUGGCAACAGUUGCCUCGCACUCACUGUGUGGGUGAUUGGCAGCCUUGACAACGGAGACGGAGUGACACUUGACCUCGCGUGCUGAAUGGGAGAGGAGAAAGAAGGAGCGAGAAAUAGAAGAGAGGGGGAGGGAGUGGGAGGGGGACGUGCGGAGACAGACGAGAGACUAAGUGAUAAUCAUUCUCCAUUGUAAUCAUCCUCCAGCAUGUUUCAUAAGGCGUCGUCAAUACCUCUCCAGCUGGGGUCCAUCAUCAAACACAAUGCACAGUGCGGCGCGCGCAUGCACGGACACACUCUACCUGGGUGGAGAGCCCAGGCAGGCACUCCACAUCUCAUCUAUUAUCACUCAGCACUGCAUGGUGCACAGCCCCGCUACACUGUGUCUUCUUUCAUUUGUGAUCUGCUACAUCCUGUGCUCUGUGGGGAUGAACGGAUACUGGACUCCUAAAAAUGUGUCAUGGUCACAGAUGCCACAGGAGAGUAGAUCAGAAGCUGAGACAUUUUACUUUGAAACUGGCACUGCCAGUGUCUCUGACACCUUUGAAUUUAAGUGCUGCAAUUAUUAAAGUGUUUUUUUUUUGUAGUUUUCCAUCUAUUCACUAGCUGAGGGUACCCUAUUGUACUUGCUUUUCUUUUAACAAAAAAGGUAUGUUCUUCAAGGAUGACUACACCUGUAUAUAAUCAACACUGCAACAAUACAAACUCUAAUAAAAAAACACAUUUGGAGGAC